CAGGAACUAGGAGAGAUGGAAAUGGGGAACACGUUAGCAUGGAGAUAGGGUGGCUCUUCUGUGCAAAAGCGUCGUUCGACUCAAAAAGUCCUUUACUACCUGAAGCCCCAUUACCUUCCUGCCUACAGGGUUGCAUCACAGAAAUGAAGUCCAGAAGCCCUAAUUCUUGCAUCUAGCAGCUAAUGGGGUGGGUGGCAACACACAUCAUAUUAAGUAAACCCAGGCUCAAGGAUGACAGGACACUUUAUCUCCCUGGAUUUCAGGAUUAUGUCUAGAUUAAUGAGUGGAUGAAUUAGUGGUUCUCAGAAGCUAUACCAGAAUCUCCUAGACUCCCUGAUCGAAAUGCAGACCUCUACCCAUUCCGAUUCCACAGGUGUGGAGCUGGGAUUUGGGAUUUAAAAAAAACAAAACAAAAACAAAAAAACUCCUUCAGUGACUCCAACGCGUGAAUCCAUACUCAAUAACUAUUGUUGCAUUUAUCCGCUUCACAAAUACCGAGUCCUAAUUAUGUGCCAAGAUCUGUGCUGGGCAAUUAGAAUGCAGCAGUAAGUAACAUAGUCAAGAAACCCUGUUCUGGUGUAGUGGUGGGUAAGAGAAUAAAUAACAAAUUACAGAGAAAUUCCAUGUUGGAAGGUAAGUGUCGUACAAAAAAAAAAAAAAAAAAAGGCAAGACAAAGAGAUUGGAAACACGGGAGGAGACUAACAACAUUUCAAUGGGGACAUCCCCCGUAGCUCUAUUUAGGACUAGAUGAUAUCUCUUUCACUUUUUCCAUUCUAAGAGCUGGUGUAGAGUGAAGGAGUUGGUGAUGUGUGAAGAUGCACCAUGAUUACAUCAACAGUCAUCCUGGCCAUUCAUUCAUUCAUUCAUUCAUUCAGCCAUGCAGCAGCUGGGCACCGAAUGCCUACCAGGAGUGCACCAGGAAUAUGCUGGUGAGUGAGAUGUGUGCCCUGUCCUCAUGGAGCCUGCAAUUCACAUAAAGAUGCCUAGAAUUUUAAGACGGAUAUUUCUUCCAGAACAUCAUAUGGCCCAGUCUUGACUCUUAAAAGAUACACUGAAGGCCUACUAUGUGUAAUUAGGAUUCCUGGGGAUGAUAUAUGCCCCACAAACAAAUAUUCAACAUGUAAAUUUGCAAGAACAAGCACAAAAUCUGAAAUCUUCUCAUCUGUAAAAUGAUACUGAUGACAAGCUGCCUCAAGGAAAGAAAUUUCCAAAGCUUCUUUCAUCUCAUGUGGCAUUUUGAGGUACUGUCCAUUUGCACGCAGCUUCCAUUUUCAAGGCGAAUGUAGAAACAAAACGGGUCGUUCAUCUGAGAGGUUUAUCUGCUGCGGCAAGCUCCCCACCUAAGGCUCUCCCACUGCUUAAUAAUUUUCACAAUAGCCAGUUGUUUGGUGGAGGAUUAGGUCUCUAUGUCAGAAGCAGGAGCAAAUGAAUUAAACCUGUUCAUCUAUACAGAACUGAUUUGCUGUCAACAGCUAAUGCGAGGAAAACGGGAAAAGAAACCCAAGGAAUUACGAUUUAUGAGAUGAGUCGCUGAGCCACGUUCUACACUAUUUGGCUUCCCUGGGGGCUGAAGAACUGUCUCAGCUCAGCUUCAAUGUGUAGAUGUUGUCCUGAUGAAAGAUGGCAGUGGCCCUCUAUGAAGGAGGGUCAGUUGAAAGCAGUGACGAGAAAAAACACGAUCCCUGUUUCUUAUUCUCACAUAAUAGGGUGUCUGAUAAGUUAAGUACCUUUUGACCUUUCCAUUUUUCAGCCCGGCUGAGCUUUUACAUAAUUUUAGUUCCCUGAAUUUUGAAUUUUCCAGCAACAGAAGAAAGAAGAGGUCCUUCCUCAUGAGCACUUCUAACAGUAUCUUUGAUGUGGGAGUUUCAACUAAUAGUUCAACUGAUCAUGUAAUAGUUUCAACUAGUAAUCUAAAAUUAUAGAUCAAGCACUGUGAUUAAAUGCUCCUGCCUCUCAAUGAUCUAAUAUUCCUGGGGUCUGGGUACUGAGUGAGUUGGGACUGGCUGGCCUUUAUGCUGUGCUAAUAAACAACUUCAAAAUCUCAGUG